AGAGUUUGAUCCUGGCUCAGAUUGAACGCUGGCGGCAGGCCUAACACAUGCAAGUCGAGCGGGGUUUUCGGACCUAGCGGCGGACGGGUGAGUAAUGCGUAGGAAGCUACCCGAUAGAGGGGGAUACCAGUUGGAAACGACUGUUAAUACCGCAUAAGGUCUACGGACCAAAGUGUGGGACCUUCGGGCCACAUGCUAUCGGAUGCGCCUACGUGGGAUUAGCUAGUUGGUGGGGUAAUGGCUCACCAAGGCGACGAUCCCUAGCUGGUUUGAGAGGAUGAUCAGCCACACUGGAACUGAGACACGGUCCAGACUCCUACGGGAGGCAGCAGUGGGGAAUAUUGGACAAUGGGCGCAAGCCUGAUCCAGCCAUGCCGCGUGUGUGAAGAAGGCCUUCGGGUUGUAAAGCACUUUCAGCGAGGAGGAAGGGAGUUGUGUUAAUAGCACAGCUUCUUGACGUUACUCGCAGAAGAAGCACCGGCUAACUCUGUGCCAGCAGCCGCGGUAAUACAGAGGGUGCAAGCGUUAAUCGGAAUUACUGGGCGUAAAGCGCACGUAGGCGGUUUUUUAAGUCAGAUGUGAAAGCCCCGGGCUCAACCUGGGAAUUGCAUUUGAAACUGGAANACUAGAGUGUGUGAGAGGGGGGUAGAAUUC
rnacentral:rRNA from 1 species